UACGUAGGGUGCGAGCGUUAAUCGGAAUUACUGGGCGUAAAGCGUGCGCAGGCGGCUUCGCAAGUCAGACGUGAAAUCCCCGGGCCUAACCUGGGAAUGGCGUUUGAAACUACGGAGCUGGAGUAUGGCAGAGGGGGGUGGAAUUGCAGGUGUAGCGGUGAAAUGCGUAGAUAUCUGCAGGAACACCCGUGGCGAAAGCGGCGCGCUGGACCACUACUGACGCUGAGGAACGAAAGCUAGGGGAGCAAACAGG
rnacentral:rRNA from 1 species